AACGGCGGAGGAGCACUUACGUCGUACUGGGUGAGGUCCUUGUCGGGAAUCUCGGCGAGGAAGUGGUUGGCCUUGACGACGCAGCGCGCGCCCACGGUCCCGAACCCGGGCCGGCGGCAGAAGGACAGCCCCUUGCUGGGCACGGGCGGCCCAAUGACGGCGCGCGUGGCCGCCUCCACGGGCGCCGCCGCAGGCCCUGGCGCCGGCCGCGGCCCCUCCGCGGGCCUGGCGCGCCCGCGCCCGCCGCGCCGCUUCCCGGCGCACCUCUUACCUCCCUCGAGCGGCGGCGGCUGUGGCGCCUCCGCCUUGGGCUGCGCGACGCUGCUCUGCAGCGGCUGCUUCCUCCCUCCUCCCCUGGGCUGCUGGUGGCGGCGCGGCUGCGGCGGCGGCGGCGGAGGCGGCGUCAUCUCCAGGACCUCCAGCAUGUGA
rnacentral:rRNA from 1 species